rnacentral:rRNA from 1 species
GACAGAGGCCUCAAGCGUUAGGCGGAAUCACUGGGCUUAAAGCGUGUGUAGGCGGAUCUGUAAGUACCUUGUGAAAUCCCACGGCUCAACCGUGGAACUGCUUGGUAUACUGCGGGUCUUGAGCCACCUAGGGGCAAGUGGAACAAACGGUGGAGCGGUGAAAUGCGUAGAUAUCGUUUGGAACGCCAAUGGUGAAAACAACUUGCUGGGGGUGUGCUGACGCUGAGACACGAAAGCCAGGGGAGCAAACGGG